rnacentral:rRNA from 1 species
UACGAACCGUCCAACCGUUACUCGGAAUCACUGGGCUUAAAGGGUGCGUAGGCCGCGCGGAGGGUGGGAUGUGAAAUCCCCCGGCUCAACCGGGGAAUAGCGUCCCAAACCGCCGUGCUCGAGGGAGACAGAGGUGAGCGGAACUGAUGGUGGAGCGGUGAAAUGCGUAGAUAUCAUUUGGAACGCCAAUGGUGAAAACAGGUAGCUGGGAGUGUGCUGACGCUGAGACACGAAAGCCAGGGGAGCAAACGGG